rnacentral:rRNA from 1 species
AUUGAACGCUGGCGGUAUGCUUAACACAUGCAAGUCGAACGGUAGCAUGACUUAGCUUGCUAAGUUGAUGACGAGUGGCGAACGGGUGAGUAACGCGUAGGAAUAUGCCUUAAAGUGGGGGACAACUUGGGGAAACUCAAGCUAAUACCGCAUAAUUUCCUUGGAAAAAAGCUGAGGACCUUCGGGCCUGGCGCUUUAAGAUUAGCCUGCGUACGAUUAGCUAGUUGGUAGGGUAAAGGCCUACCAAGGCGACGAUCGUUAGCUGGUCUGAGAGGAUGGACAGCCACACUGGAACUGAGACACGGUCCAGACUCCUACGGGAGGCAGCAGUGGGGAAUAUUGGACGAUGGGGGAAACCCUGAUCCAGCAAUACCGCGUGUGUGAAGGAGGCCUGAGGGUUGUAAAGCACUUUCAGUGGGGAGGAGGGUAUUUAGGUUAAGAGCUAAAAUACUGGACGUUACCCACAGAAGAAGCACCGGCUAACUCCGUGCCAGCAGCCGCCGUAA